rnacentral:lncRNA from 1 species
CUCUGUGGAAAUAGCACACGUUUUUCUGGCAACAACCAGCACCAGCUGCAACAGCAGGUGCCAUCUUUGAUUUCCUUUUUUUCAAUGGGUUCGUCAUUGAAAUUGAACCGACGCGAGAGGAGGAAUUAAAGACCGUGGACUUCGCUGCUGGGAAACGAGGACGAGGCGAAGACAGAUGGCUGGGUUUUCUCGGCGGAGGGGACGGCUCGAGGGGACGGCGCGGCCGCCGGCCAGAGUUUUCCUCAUGGCUGCCGACCUGCCGUACCAUUCAUACGUGCAGCAGCAACAUCCGUGGCAGC